AGGCUGUUCCCUCCAGACCCUGCUGCCGACCCAGGGGAGGCCUUGGGCCAGGAGGAACCUGACCUGGAGGAAGCACUGAGGCGACCAGGACUGCCAGCCGCUGAGUACCCGGAGGGGCCAGGCUGUAGCCCGGGCCAGCGUGAGCCCGACACAGAGGGGGAGCUGGAGCUGCCAGCAGCUGAAUACCCGGACGAGCUGGAGGGACCGGAGAGGCCCGCUUGAGAGACCGGCAGUGGACCCACGUCCACCAG